rnacentral:rRNA from 1 species
GGUUAAGUUAGAAAGGGCGCACGGUGGAUGCCUUGGCACUAGGAGCCGAAGAAGGACGGGACUAACACCGAUAUGCUUUGGGGAGCUGUACGUAAGCGUUGAUCCAGAGAUUUCCGAAUGGGGGAACCCACUAUCUUUAGUCGGAUAGUAUCCUUACGUGAAUACAUAGCGUGAGGAAGGCAGACCCAGGGAACUGAAACAUCUAAGUACCUGGAGGAAGAGAAAGAAAAAUCGAUUUCCUGAGUAGCGGCGAGCGAAACGGAAAGAGCCCAAACCAAGAAGCUUGCUUCUUGGGGUUGUAGGACACUCUAUACGGAGUUACAAAAGAAAGUUAUAAAUGAAGCGGUCUGGAAAGGCCCGCCAAAGACGGUAACAGCCCGGUAGUUGAAAUGGCUUUCCCUCCAGAGUGGAUCCUGAGUACGGCGGAACACGUGAAAUUCCGUCGGAAUCCGGGAGGACCAUCUCCCAAGGCUAAAUACUCCCUAGUGACCGAUAGUGAACCAGUACCGUGAGGGAAAGGUGAAAAGCACCCCGGAAGGGGAGUGAAACAGUUCCUGAAACCGUGUGCCUACAAGUAGUUAGAGCCCGUUAAUGGGUGAUAGCGUGCCUUUUGUAGAAUGAACCGGCGAGUUACGAUUUGUUGCAAGGUUAAGCGGAAAAAGCGGAGCCGUAGCGAAAGCGAGUCUGAAUAGGGCGCAUAAGUAACAGGUCGUAGACCCGAAACCAGGUGAUCUACCCAUGUCCAGGAUGAAGGUAAGGUAAUACUUACUGGAGGUCCGAACCCACGCACGUUGAAAAGUGCGGGGAUGAGGUGUGGGUAGCGGAGAAAUUCCAAUCGAACUUGGAGAUAGCUGGUUCUCUCCGAAAUAGCUUUAGGGCUAGCCUCGAGGUAAAGAGUCAUGGAGGUAGAGCACUGUUUGGACUAGGGGCCCUUCUCGGGUUACCGAAUUCAGAUAAACUCCGAAUGCCAUGUACUUAUACUCGGGAGUCAGACUGCGAGUGAUAAGAUCCGUAGUCGAAAGGGAAACAGCCCAGACCACCAGUUAAGGUCCCCAAAUAUAUGUUAAGUGGAAAAGGAUGU